ACAUGGAUACAAUCAAAGUUAGUAUCCACAAUAGAUAUUUUGGACGAAAAAGAAAAUUUUCAUUUUUCGAUGAAUAGUGCCGUAUUCGUGAAUAGUACCGUAUACGUGAAUAGUGCCGUAUACGUGAAUAGUAACUCCGACACCAAAAGUUUCAAAUUUGAUAAAAACUUCAGAUCAAUAUUUCAGCAUAAUGAUAUUGAAGAAAUAAUAUCAUUACGAAAAAAAAUAAUAUCCCUUACCUCGGAAAGACAGUACUUCUAACUGGAAUACUGGAUAUAGGCUAUAACUUGAACUUUCACCGUAUAGCAAUACUCAAAGUAUACUCAAAAUACUCACAAGAAUACGCUCGAUAAUAUAGAGAGAGA
rnacentral:lncRNA from 1 species